GCUAAUGUAGUGUAGUGAUUUGAGCACUGGACUACAACUCUGGAAACCAGGGUUUGAAUCCUUGCUUGGGCA